UAUUAUUUAAUAAAAAUAUUAAUUUCUUAAGUAGUAAUAUUUAAAAAUUAAAAUUUAAAAAAUAUGGCAGUAUUUUAUCCUAUUUAGAGGAAUUUGUUUUUUAAUUGAUAAUCCACAAUAAAUUUUACUUAAUUUAAAUAAUUUGUAUAUUGUUGUUAAAAAAAAUUUUUAAAUAGAAUAAAAUUUUUAAAAAAAUUAAUUAAUUUAAAUAUCAAAUCAUAAUGCAAUUUAUAAUUAAGAUUAAAAUGAAUUACAAUAAAUUUAUUUAAACAGUAUUUAUAUUGAAAUAUAUAUAUUAAGGUGGAUUUAAAAGUAAAAUUUAUUAAAUUUUAAUUUUGAAAUUAUUUUAAAAUAUGUACAUAUUGCCCGUCGCUUUCAUUUUGUAUUGGAAUAA
rnacentral:rRNA from 1 species